CCGCACGUGGACAGCGGAGGUGCUGCGCCUAGCCACACAUCGCGGGCUCCGGCGCUGCGUCUCCAGGCACAGGGAGCCGCCAGGAAGGGCAGGAGAGCGCGCCAGGGCCAGGGCCCGGCCCCAGCCGCCUGCGACUCGCUCCCCUCCGCUGGGAUCCCGCUCCAUGGCUCCGCGGCCACCGCCGCCCAUGUCGCCCUCCGGUCCGGAGGGGCCUUGCCGCAGCCGGUUCGAACACUCGACGAAGGAGUAAGCAGCGCCUCCGCCUCCGCGCCGGCCGCCCCCACGCCCCCAGGAAGGCCGAGGCAGGAGAGGCAGGAGGGAGGAAACAGGAGCGAGCAGGAACGGGGCUCCGGUUGCUGCAGGACAGUCCAGCCCGGAGGAGGCUGCGCUCCGGGCAGCGGCGGGCGGCGCCGCCGGGUUGCUCGGAGCUCAGGCCCGGCGGCUGCGGGGAGGCGUCUCGGAACCCCGGGAGGCCCCCCGCACCUGCCCGCGGCCCACUCCGCGGACUCACCUGGCUCCCGGCUCCCCCUUCCCCAUCCCCGCCGCCGCAGCCCGAGCGGGGCUCCGCGGGCCUGGAGCACGGCUGGGUCUAAUAUGCCCGGAGCCGAGGCGCGAUGAAGGAGAAGUCCAAGAAUGCGGCCAAGACCAGGAGGGAGAAGGAAAAUGGCGAGUUUUACGAGCUUGCCAAGCUGCUCCCGCUGCCGUCGGCCAUCACCUCGCAGCUGGACAAAGCGUCCAUCAUCCGCCUCACCACGAGCUACCUGAAGAUGCGCGCCGUCUUCCCCGAAGGUUUAGGAGACGCGUGGGGACAGCCGAGCCGCGCCGGGCCCCUGGACAGCGUCGCCAAGGAGCUGGGAUCGCACUUGCUGCAGACUUUGGAUGGAUUUGUUUUUGUGGUAGCAUCUGAUGGCAAAAUCAUGUAUAUAUCCGAGACCGCUUCUGUCCAUUUAGGCUUGUCCCAGGUGGAGCUCACGGGCAACAGUAUUUAUGAAUACAUCCAUCCUUCCGACCACGAUGAGAUGACCGCUGUCCUCACGGCCCACCAGCCGCUGCACCACCACCUGCUCCAAGAGUAUGAGAUAGAGAGGUCGUUCUUUCUUCGAAUGAAAUGUGUCUUGGCGAAAAGGAACGCGGGCCUGACCUGCAGCGGAUACAAGGUCAUCCACUGCAGUGGCUACUUGAAGAUCAGGCAGUAUAUGCUGGACAUGUCCCUGUACGACUCCUGCUACCAGAUUGUGGGGCUGGUGGCCGUGGGCCAGUCGCUGCCACCCAGUGCCAUCACCGAGAUCAAGCUGUACAGUAACAUGUUCAUGUUCAGGGCCAGCCUCGACCUGAAGCUGAUAUUCCUGGAUUCCAGGGUGACCGAGGUGACGGGGUACGAGCCGCAGGACCUGAUCGAGAAGACCCUAUACCAUCACGUGCACGGCUGCGACGUGUUCCACCUCCGCUACGCACACCACCUCCUGUUGGUGAAGGGCCAGGUCACCACCAAGUACUACCGGCUGCUGUCCAAGCGGGGCGGCUGGGUGUGGGUGCAGAGCUACGCCACCGUGGUGCACAACAGCCGCUCGUCCCGGCCCCACUGCAUCGUGAGUGUCAAUUAUGUACUCACGGAGAUUGAAUACAAGGAACUUCAGCUGUCCCUGGAGCAGGUGUCCACUGCCAAGUCCCAGGACUCCUGGAGGACCGCCUUGUCUACCUCACAAGAAACUAGGAAAUUAGUGAAACCCAAAAAUACCAAGAUGAAGACAAAGCUGAGAACAAACCCUUACCCCCCACAGCAAUACAGCUCGUUCCAAAUGGACAAACUGGAAUGCGGCCAGCUCGGAAACUGGAGAGCCAGUCCUCCUGCAAGCGCUGCUGCUCCUCCAGAACCGCAGCUCCACUCAGAAAGCAGUGACCUUCUGUACACGCCAUCCUACAGCCUGCCCUUCUCCUACCAUUACGGACACUUCCCUCUGGACUCUCACGUCUUCAGCAGCAAAAAGCCAAUGUUGCCGGCCAAGUUCGGGCAGCCCCAAGGAUCCCCUUGUGAGGUGGCACGCUUUUUCCUGAGCACACUGCCAGCCAGCGGUGAAUGCCAGUGGCAUUAUGCCAACCCCCUAGUGCCUAGCAGCUCGUCUCCAGCUAAAAAUCCUCCGGAGCCACCGGCAAACACUGCUAGGCACAGCCUGGUGCCAAGCUACGAAGGUGGGUCAGGUCUGCUCGUGGGGAAGGUGGGAGGACUGGGCACGGCCGGGGGCCGAAGCAGCCAUGGCGGUGGGUGGCAGAUGGAGACAGAACCCUCACGCUUUGGGCAAACUUUCCCUCUUUCUGCUUCUAAGUAGGGCUUGCUGUGCUUUCUUGCUCUCAAUGCAGGUGCUCCUCGAGAGUGAGAAAUGGCAGUCUGCCUGCCUCGGGGACACUAGUGACAGUAUAAAGGGCAAAGGAAAACCGAGUAUCCGGCCUUCACGUAAAUCCUGGCCACAUUCACCAACCAAAGGGGGACAGUGAUUUUCAAAACCAGCUCCCAUGUGCUGAGAACACCCCAGCUGCAUUUCUUUUGCAAGAUUCCUUUCCACUCCAACCAGAAGUGAAUAUUGGAGACAAACGGCCUAUUGGCUAUUUUCCCAUGCCAGUUUUGGAAGUGGGGAAAACUAUGGUGGAAAUUUGUGGGCUUGGGGACAGAAAUGCCACUCACCAACCCAGGGCAAAGAACACAAACCCUCCAGGCCUCAGUUUCUUCACCUGUAAAAUGGGGUGAAGCUGUGAUGUGCCUACUCCCAAGGACACGACACACAGUAGGGACCUGCCCUGUACAUGCUAGUUCAACAGAAAGGAAUGGCCUUUCACCUUCUCCUGGUGGCAGGCAAGCAGAUGUCCUCUGUGGAGAUACCGCCAGCUCCCCAGGACGCAGACUGACUCCUGUUUGCUCGCUGGACCAACCCCAGGCAGAAGGUGGAAGGUGGGAACAGAGGUUUAGCUGCAGGACAUGUAUUCCCAUUGCACCGAGACCUAACUGCCGCUCAGAGUGUAGACCGAGAUGGUGCAGAUGCCUGCAGGGCCACUAAAAUGUGGGUGAAGGUGACAUCAGGAUUAUGUGCCCCAGGCCGGGCUCAGUGGCUCACGCCUGUAAUCCCAGCGCUUUGGGAGGCCAAGGUGGGUGGAUCACCUGAGGUCAGGAGUUUGAGACAAGCCUGCCAACAUGCUGAAACCCCAUCUCCACUAAAAAUACAAAAAUUAGUUGGGCAUGGUGGUGAGCACCUGUAAUCCCAGCUACUCUGGAGGCUGAGACAGGAGGAUCACUUGAACCCGGGAGGUGGAGGUUGCAGUGAGCUGAGAUCACAUCACUGCACUCCAGCCUGGGUAACAGAGUGAGGCUGUCUCAAAAAAAAAAAAAAAAAA
rnacentral:sRNA from 1 species